rnacentral:lncRNA from 1 species
UGGCAAUGAGCAGGGGGGUGGAAUCAGUGCAGUGGAUGCUAAUUCACUUAAAUGCCUACCCUCUUGAUGGAAGAUGGGAAAUGCUUGGCCUAAAAAGAAAAGCCCUGGCGCAAAAAUGUGUGGACAGAAUCUUUUUCCAUUUUUCUGUGUUGGCAAACGUACAUGUCCAAACAUACAUUUUGUCAGCGGUAAAAAGGUGUAUUUCUAUGAGAAGCUUUGGAGGUGGAAUAGCGGCUUUUUUUUAGGCCCAACGAAGAGAAAUAAAUUGUUUCAUCUUCACACUGCAAUUCAUCACUAAGAGGUGUGAAUCUUCUUAGGGCCACAGAUCAGAGAAAAAAUCCACUCCCCACUGAGAGACAACGGAACGAUUUCCUAUCGGUUCCCAAGAUCCAAACGGAGUGAAACUUUUGGAGGGGGAGUUAACCAGGCUGUGACGCUAACACCUGCAUCAGUAUCAGUAACCAUGGAGAUGAUGACUUCCACAGUGAAUUAUCUUCUAUCCAUCGAUAUUAAGGCAGCUUGCAGAGAGGCGUCAACCAAUGAGAAGUCGGCGCCAGGCACGAGGAGGACGGGGCAUUCACAAGCGUUGAAUAAUAAUAAAAAAUGAGUCUCUCUCUGCUGCAUUCCCCUCCGCUAGAGGCUUGUCUAUGCCAUCAGAGAGGUGUAACUCUCUGGAGCAGCUGGCUCCUAUGGUAAACUGCAUCUCAAAGAGCACUGCUAUGAUUUGGUUGAAUAUGAUUUCUCAGAUCAUAGCAUCACAUUCUCUAGGACAUACUUAUUUUCCCCUAAUGUUUUUUAGAAAGAUUAAAAGUGGAUAUGGCACAAUUAAUAAAAUAAAGAACACUUCA